GACGAACGCUGGCGGCGUGCCUAAUACAUGCCAGUCGAACGCACAGUUUAUACCGUAGCUUGCUACACCAUAGACUGUGAGUUGCGAACGGGUGAGUAACGCGUAGGUAACCUGCCUGGUAGCGGGGGAUAACUAUUGGAAACGAUAGCUAAUACCGCAUAAUAUUAAUUAUUGCAUGAUAAUUAAUUGAAAGGUGCAAUUGCACCACUACCAGAUGGACCUGCGUUGUAUUAGCUAGUAGGUGAGGUGACGGCUCACCUAGGCGACGAUACAUAGCCGACCUGAGAGGGUGAUCGGCCACACUGGGACUGAGACACGGCCCAGACUCCUACGGGAGGCAGCAGUAGGGAAUCUUCGGCAAUGGACGAAAGUCUGACCGAGCAACGCUGCGUGAGUGAAGAAGGUUUUCGGAUCGUAAAGCUCUGUUGUAAGAGAAGAACGGGUGUGAGAGUGGAAAGUUCACACUGUGACGGUAUCUUACCAGAAAGGGACGGCUAACUACGUG
rnacentral:rRNA from 1 species